rnacentral:rRNA from 1 species
GAACGUUACCAAUCUGUUGCCUCGGCGGGAUUCUCUGCCCCGGGCGCGUCGCAGCCCCGGAUCCCAUGGCGCCCGCCGGAGGACCAACUCAAACUCUUUUUUCUCUCCGUCGCGGCUUCCGUCGCGGCUCUGUUUUACCUUUGCUCUGAGCCUUUCUCGGCGACCCUAGCGGGCGUCUCGAAAAUGAAUCAAAACUUUCAACAACGGAUCUCUUGGUUCUGGCAUCGAUGAAGAACGCAGCGAAAUGCGAUAAGUAAUGUGAAUUGCAGAAUUCAGUGAAUCAUCGAAUCUUUGAACGCACAUUGCGCCCGCCAGUAUUCUGGCGGGCAUGCCUGUCCGAGCGUCAUUUCAACCCUCGAACCCCUCCGGGGGGUCGGCGUUGGGGAUCGGCCCCUCACCGGGCCGCCCCCGAAAUACAGUGGCGGUCUCGCCGCAGCCUCUCCUGCGCAGUAGUUUGCACACUCGCACCGGGAGCGCGGCGCGGCCACAGCCGUAAAACACCCCAAACUCU